AUUACUUUGUUGCUUUGGCAGGCUGCUUUGCGUCUGCCAGAGGUUUACCAAACUCUUUUUAUUAAUGUCGUCUGAGUACUAUAUAAUAGUUAA
rnacentral:rRNA from 1 species